rfam:Mastigocoleus testarum BC008 Contig-56, whole genome shotgun sequence.
GGGCGGGUGGCGAAAUUGGUAGACGCAGCAGACUCAAAAUCUGCCGCCCUAUAAAGGCGUGAGAGUUCGAGUCUCUCUCCGCCCA